UUUCUUUAUCCAGUUCUUUACCAAAAAUUUACAAAAAAAGCCAAAAAACGGCCUUCACACGGGAUGACCCCCUUAAUUUAAUUUGUUUUGAUACAAAUUCAGGGCUUGUUUGUUUACCAUCAGAGUUGGGCUGCUGUUUACUACCUACGACCGGUUGCCUGGAAUGUAAACAAAUCUUGUGCAGGCACUGGCACUAGAAACAGUUCUAUUUGGCCCUCGAAAUUGCUAAAGUCGCUAGUCAAAUCGGCCCUGCAGUAUUUUCGCAGAUCAACUCGAUACGAGCUAGGCCACAAAGCCGUACUCCUUUGAAGAUUCAUCCAGCGAUUUCACACCGAUUGAUCCUGUUCAGAUAUCCUCUUAGUUUGUUCUUUUCAGACCCAAGUAUUGGCCAUCAUUUCUACUCCACCUGCUCGGAAGGUGUCACUUCUUCGCCAAUGGACGCUGCAAAUCACAAUCUAGGAUCAACCCAAACCCAUUUGAAACUCAGUGGCGUAAGGAAAAUUUCACGACUUUUCGAAGGAACUCGGAGAUGAGGACCGUUCCGCCAGUUGGUAUCCACGUUCAACAAUAUCGGGAAGUGCGUCAAGCAGAUUAGGCGACACCACUCGGCAGAACAGGCCACGUGGAAUCACUUUCGAAGUUUACGUAAUGAAGGAAUAGUUGCAACCACUUAGAAGCAAGAAGGAAAAGCGGGUCCUGUUACGUUCAUUGUUGACUGAGUGCGGCAGACGGUAGACGAGGCUGCGAAAGCUAUCCAGUACCACACAUCGUCAAGAAGAAAUUUGUGAAGAGAUCGAUCGUCUUCAAGGCUACCAAAACGGUCCCCAAGCAAUCAACAUGCGUGCGCUGAAGGAAGCUUCCAAACAGAUACAUCUAAAGUGGACUUGUGACCAACAGCUACCGACUCUUCCUAGACGACGCAUCGACUCGAAAUUCCCAGAGCGGAGCGGAGGAACCACUUACUGGAUGGACUGUUCCUAGUGCCUCUAAAUCCUGAUUGUGGACUACUUACGUGGUCAAUAAACUACAUAUAUU